UAUUUUUUUUCCACAAGAUGGCCGUCGUCGCUUGCGCACGUUGUUGUUUGUCUUGUAAAUUCUCUAUUUUAUAAACUUAUUCUCGGUUUCCCGUUGCGUAACGUUGAGUUGAGCUUCUUGCUCCUCCGUUUGUGUUUCGGUGAGCCCAGUGUCGUGAACUGUGAGACGGGACUCCAUUAUUAAGAUAGUGACUCUUUUCUUUCUUACAAUAUGAAAGAAAACGCAAGGAAGUGUUUAAAAUGUGACGUUUCUCCUACAGAAAAUAGUAACACUAUUUUGCACCGCUUUCCGAAGCCUGGAAGAACAAAUAGCCUUAAAUGUGAAUUGUGGGCUAAGUAUUGUUUUCCACAAGGCCUAUGGUAUUCACCAGAGUUCCAGACCAAGCUGUACUCUGAACACAGAAUGUGCACGAAACAUUUCAAUAAGAAAUAUUUUAUGAUAUUGUAGGUGAAAAAAUGGUUAAAUCUGCAUUUCCAUAUGAAGAAUGUGAUAAGAUUAUCGAAGUUCUGGGUGGAGCAACAAAUACUGCAUGGAACAUUGACUUACAAAUAAAUGGACGACGGGUCUAAUACAAAAACCACGAAAAAAAUGUCCCAAGUCAACCUAUUC